CCAACAAUAGUAAUAAAUAUAUUAAUAAAAUACGAGACGCUUGUACAUUUUUUUUAAUACAUACUAGCAUUUUAGGGGCAAUAUGUCUUGGUAACAUGUAAAGUGUCGAAUUGAUCAAAUGGAAAAUCUACUAUACAAAAAUAAACCAGAUGAAACAAUCCUUUGUCAUUGACGAUUCUUCUCUACUAUGACUCUUUUCUUC
rnacentral:lncRNA from 1 species